UAGGGAANCUUCGGCAAUGGACGGAAGUCUGACCGAGCAACGCCGCGUGAGUGAAGAAGGUUUUCGGAUCGUAAAGCUCUGUUGUAAGAGAAGAACGAGUGUGAGAGUGGAAAGUUCACACUGUGACGGUAUCUUACCAGAAAGGGACGGCUAACUACGUGCCAGCAGCCGCGGUAAUACGUAGGUCCCGAGCGUUAUCCGGAUUUAUUGGGCGUAAAGCGAGCGCAGGCGGUUAGAUAAGUCUGAAGUUAAAGGCUGUGGCUUAACCAUAGUACGCUUUGGAAACUGUUUAACUUGAGUGCAAGAGGGGAGAGUGGAAUUCCAUGUGUAGCGGUGAAAUGCGUAGAUAUAUGGAGGAACACCGGUGGCGAAAGCGGCUCUCUGGCUUGUAACUGACGCUGAGGCUCGAAAGCGUGGGGAGCAAACAGGAUUAGAUACCCUGGUAGUCCACGCCGUNNCGAUGAGUGCUAGGUGUUAGACCCUUUCCGGGGUUUAGUGCCGUAGCUNACGCAUUAAGCACUCCGCCUGGGGAGUACGACCGCAAGGNU
rnacentral:rRNA from 1 species